UACAGAGGUCUCAAGCGUUGUUCGGAUUCAUUGGGCGUAAAGGGUGCGUAGGCGGCGCCGGUAAGUCGGGUGUGAAAUCUCGGGCGUUAAACUCCGAAACUGCAUUCGAUACUGCCGUGCUUGAGGACUGGAGAGGAGACUGGAAUUUACGGUGUAGCGGUGAAAUGCGUAGAUAUCGUAAGGAAGGACCAGUGGCGAAGGCGGGUCUC
rnacentral:rRNA from 1 species